rnacentral:rRNA from 1 species
GACGAACGCUGGCGGCGUGCCUAAUACAUGCAAGUCGAGCGGACUGAAUGGGAGCUUGCUCUUGUUCGGUCAGCGGCGGACGGGUGAGUAACACGUGGGCAACCUGCCCGCAAGACCGGGAUAACUCCGGGAAACCGGAGCUAAUACCGGAUAACACCGAAGACCGCAUGGUCUUUGGUUGAAAGGCGGCGCAAGCUGCCACUUGCGGAUGGGCCCGCGGCGCAUUAGCUAGUUGGUGAGGUAACGGCUCACCAAGGCGACGAUGCGUAGCCGGCCUGAGAGGGUGACCGGCCGCACUGGGACGGAGACACGGCCCAGACUCCUACGGGAGGCAGCAGUAGGGAAUCUUCCGCAAUGGGCGAAAGCCUGACGGAGCGACGCCGCGUGAGCGAAGAAGGCCUUCGGGUCGUAAAGCUCUGUUGUGAGGGACGAAGGAGCGCCGUUUGAAGAAGGCGGCGCGGUGACGGUACCUCACGAGGAAGCCCCGGCUAACUACGUG